rnacentral:rRNA from 1 species
UACGAAGGGGGCUAGCGUUGUUCGGAAUUACUGGGCGUAAAGCGCGUGUAGGCGGGUCUUUAAGUCAGGGGUGAAAUGCCAAGGCUCAACCUUGGAACUGCCUUUGAUACUGGAGAUCUUGAGUCCAGGAGAGGUGAGUGGAACUGCGAGUGUAGAGGUGAAAUUCGUAGAUAUUCGCAAGAACACCAGUGGCGAAGGCGGCUCACUGGACCAUAACUGACGCUGAGGCGCGAAAGCUAGGGGAGCAAACAGG